UCUCAGGGCCCGAGUUGUAAUUUGUAGAGGAUGCUUUUGGCGAGGUGCCUUCCGAGUUCCCUGGAACGGGACGCCACAGAGGGUGAGAGCCCCGUAUGGUCGGACACCGAGCCUCUGUAAAGCUCCUUCGACGAGUCGAGUAGUUUGGGAAUGCUGCUCAAAAUGGGAGGUAUAUGUCUUCUAAAGCUAAAUAUUGGCCAGAGACCGAUAGCGCACAAGUAGAGUGAUCGAAAGAUGAAAAGCACUUUGAAAAGAGGGUUAAAAAGUACGUGAAAUUGUUGAAAGGGAAGCGCCUAUGACCAGACUUGGGCCCGGUGAAUCACCCAGCGUUCUCGCUGGUGCACUUUGCCGGGCACAGGCCAGCAUCAGUUCAGCGCGGGGGAGAAAGGCUUCGGGAAUGUGGCUCCCUCGGGAGUGUUAUAGCCCGCUGCGUAAUGCCCUGCGCCGGACUGAGGUACGCGCAUUGCAAGGAUGCUGGCGUAAUGGUCAUCAGCGACCCGUCUUGAAACACGGACCAAGGAGUCGUCUUCGUAUGCGAGUGUUCGGGUGUCAAACCCCUACGCGUAAUGAAAGUGAACGUAGGUGAGAGCUUCGGCGCAUCACCGACCGAUCCUGAUGUUCUCGGAUGGAUUUGAGUAAGAGCAUACGGGGCCGGACCCGAAAGAAGGUGAACUAUGCCUGUAUAGGGUGAAGCCAGAGGAAACUCUGG
rnacentral:rRNA from 1 species